UACGUAGGGUGCGAGCGUUAAUCGGAAUUACUGGGCGUAAAGCGUGCGCAGGCUGUUCUGUAAGCCAGAUGUGAAAUCCCCGAGCUCAACUUGGGAACUGCGUUUGAAACUACAGGACUAGAAUAUGUCAGAGGGGGGUAGAAUUCCACGUGUAGCAGUGAAAUGCGUAGAGAUGUGGAGGAAUACCAAUGGCGAAGGCAGCCCCCCUGGGAUAAUAUUGACGCUCAUGCACGAAAGCGUGGGGAGCAAACGAGGAU
rnacentral:rRNA from 1 species